UUNGGGCGUAAANGNGCGGCGCAGGNGGGUUCCUUANNUUUGAUGUGAAANCCCCCCGGNUCANCCCGGGGNGGGNUCNAUUGGAAACUGGGGAAACUUGAGUGCAGAAGAGAAGAGUGGAAUUUCCACGUGUAGCGGUGAAAUGCGUAGAGAUGUGGAAGGAACACCCAGUNGNGAAGGNGACUCUUUUGGUCUGUAACUGACGNUGAGGCGCGAAAGCGUGGGGAGCAAAACAGGAUUAGAUACCCCUGGUAGUCCACGCCGUAAACGAUGAGUGCUAAGUGUUAGAGGGUUUCCGCCCUUUUAGUGCUGCAGCAAACGCAUUAAGCACUCCGCNUGGGGAGUACGGCCGCAAGGCUGAAACUCAAAGGAAUUGACGGGGGCCCGCACAAGCGGUGGAGCAUGUGGUUUAAUUUGAAGCAACGCGAAGAACCUUACCAGGUCUUGACAUCUCCUGACAACCCUAGAGAUAGGGCGUUCCCCUUCGGGGGACAGGAUGACAGGUGGUGCAUGGUUGUCGUCAGCUCGUGUCGUGAGAUGUUGGGUUAAGUCCCGCAACGAGCGCAACCCUUGAUCUUAGUUGCCAGCAUUCAGUUGGGCACUCUAAGGUGACUGCCGGUGACAAACCGGAGGAAGGUGGGGAUGACGUCAAAUCAUCAUGCCCCUUAUGACCUGGGCUACACACGUGCUACAAUGGAUGGUACAAAGGGCUGCGAGACCGCGAGGUUAAGCGAAUCCCAUAAAACCAUUCUCAGUUCGGAUUGCAGGCUGCAACUCGCCUGCAUGAAGCCGGAAUCGCUAGUAAUCGCGGAUCAGCAUGCCGCGGUGAAUACGUUCCCGGGCCUUGUACACACCGCCCGUCACACCACGAGAGUUUGUAACACCCGAAGUCGGUGGGGUAACCUUUUGGAGCCAGCCGCCUAAGGUGGGACAGAUGAUUGGGGNGAAGUNGANNA
rnacentral:rRNA from 1 species